AGUCCUGGACCGUUGAUGUAAACGGUAAGCGGCCGAGGGCUGCCAGUCGGCUGCCACGGAUGGGGGGGCCAAACCGAAGGAGGCAGAGCUCGCGAAAUCGGUCCCACGGUGGCAUGCCGCCCUCGUCCUGCUCGAGGGCGUAGUACCAAGUCUGUGCAGUGCCACGGAGAUGAUAGGACGCGAGCCAGGUGCGAUCCGACGCGAGCGUCCGCUGCCCCCGAAAGAACUGCUCGCACUGGUUGAGCCAGUUGAGGGGGUCUUCCGCGCCCUCGUAAG
rnacentral:lncRNA from 1 species